rnacentral:rRNA from 1 species
CCUACGGGAGGCAGCAGUAGGGAAUAUUGCUCAAUGGGGGAAACCCUGAAGCAGCAACGCCGCGUGGAGGAUGAAGGUUUUCGGAUUGUAAACUCCUUUUGUUAGAGAAGAAAAUGACGGUAUCUAACGAAUAAGCACCGGCUAACUCCGUGCCAGCAGCCGCGGUAAUACGGAGGGUGCAAGCGUUACUCGGAAUCACUGGGCGUAAAGGGCGCGUAGGCGGGAUAGCAAGUCAGAGGUGAAAUCCUAUGGCUUAACCAUAGAACUGCAUUUGAAACUGUUAUUCUAGAGUAUGGGAGAGGUAGGUGGAAUUCGUGGUGUAGGGGUAAAAUCCGUAGAGAUCAAGAGGAAUACUCAUUGCGAAGGCGACCUGCUAGAACAUAACUGACGCUGAUGCGCGAAAGCGUGGGGAGCAAACAGGAUUAGAUACCCCAGUAGUC